rnacentral:lncRNA from 1 species
UUUUUUGCAUUUUUCAUCAUUCAUUUUUUCAUUUUUUUUUUGCAUUACUUUCUUUUGAAAAUAAACAUGCUAUGAUGCAAAUGAUGCAACUAUGACUGGUUGGCUGUACAUCACAAGGCACAGGAUCGGAGCUUCGGCAUGAAUUCGGAACCGGAAACCACAGAUCAAAGUCAUCUAGAACCCAAAGUCAUCUGGAACCCAAAAUCAUCUGGAACCCCUGCUUCAGAACCAAG